UAAUUGUAAUAGGAUGGUGUAAUGUACAAG
rnacentral:piRNA from 1 species